AUGACUAACAUGUACAACAUGCCCUUUGCACCAUUCAUUGGGAUUAACAUGCAUGGGCAGUCAUUCAUGUUGGGCUGUGGCUUUGUUAGGCAAGAGUUGGCGUCAAGCUUUGAUUGGCUAUUCCAAACCUUCCUUGAGGCAAUGCAUAAUGUAGCACCCACCAACAUCAUAACCGACCAAGACAUCGCAAUGGCACAGUCAAUUAAAAAGAUCUUUCCUACAAGUGUGCACCGCUGUUGCCGCUGGCAUAUUAUGAAAAAAGCACAAGAAAAGCUUGGAGCAUUGCUGGGGCGAAACCCUGGCUUGUCCAAAGAUUUCAACAACUGUGUUGACUUUAAAUUGACGCGGGAAGAAUUUGAGGCAGGGUGGUGUGAGCUGAUGAUGAAGUAUGAGGCUAUGACUGACUCUCACUUCGAGAAUCUAUACAAGUACAGAGAGACAUGGGUACCCUGCUAUUUCAAGCACCAAUUCUUCCCUUUCUUGCAGUCAACUCAACGCAGCGAGGGGUUCAAUGCUGUCCUUAAGCGAUAUGUGAACCCACACAAGUCCAUUUUGAACUUUGUGAAGCAAUAUCAGAAAAUCCAAACACACAUACUAGUUCGUGAGGGUUCAAAAGACUACAGGACAGCACAUUUACAGACUGAAAUGUGGUCACCUUACCCAAUAGAGAAGCAGGCGUACGGAUCGUAUACUAGGGACUUGUACAAGAAGUUUCGUGAUGAGUUUCAGUUGACUACAAGGUACAAUGUGCGACCGCAUGGUGAAAACUUGUAUGAGGUUUACCCCAAUCAAGAGCGGGUUGCCAAAUAUGGUUCUAGGGGCUAUUUUGUCACGGUAGAAGCCAGUGCUGGAGACUACAGAUGUGACUGCUGCAAGAUUGAGAGGGACGGCAUGCUUUGCUGCCAUAUCUUGAAAGUUUUCAACCAACUUGGUGUUGAUGAAAUCCUAGCGCAGUACAUACUCAGGAGAUGGACACCUAUGGCAAUCCCCAACGCACCCCCUGCUGUCGAAGAGCAACCUGAUGAGAUGCCACCACAGUCGAAAAAGGAACUCAGGCAUGCAAUUUGA
rnacentral:rRNA from 1 species